UACAGAGGUCCCAAGCGUUGUUCGGAUUCACUGGGCGUAAAGGGUGCGUAGGUGGUGAGGUAAGUCGGACGUGAAAUCUCCGAGCUCAACUCGGAAAUGGCAUUGGAAACUACCUUGCUAGAGGGUUGGAGGGGGGACUGGAAUACUUGGUGUAGCAGUGAAAUGCGUAGAUAUCAAGAGGAACACCAGUGGCGAAGGCGAGUCUCUGGACAACUCCUGACACUGAGGCACGAAAGCGUGGGGAGCAAACAGG
rnacentral:rRNA from 1 species